AACCAAUCAGAAAAGGCCAAAGAUAGAGAGGUCAAAUGAGCAGCAGCCUGUCAGUCAAACUUCAACUGUAAUUGGAUGAUGGAGAAAGCAGACAAAAUGUAACCCAGAGGCGAGGGGGCUGGAUUUGUGAAACCACAUAAUCACACCUAUAGGUUUAAUUCAUAAAUCUUCCAAACGCACGACUCAAAACUUCCUGCAAGGUCAGCAAACGCACCAGUCAGCCUGUUGAGGAGUUAAUCUGGGCCUUUGGACCCCAGAGACGGGCUGAGUGAACCAUUAACCCAUCCGCUGGGAAGCCUCUUUGCAGUCACAGGCUUGUUUAGAAGUGCAAAGUCCAGAUGAGGCAGGCUAUUUCAGGCCCGGGCGGCCAGCUGGCUCAGUCGGCUACAGAAUGUCCAGCAUGACCAUGUUCCUCAGGGAGGUCCCUGGCUGGUUCCUCCUGCUCGGAAUCUUCCUCCCAGUGACUCUGCUCCUGCUCCUGAUCAUCGCCCACCUACGAUGGAAGCUUGCGGAAGUGGAUGCUGAGCUGGCCAAGGUGCACAAUCCCCGCGACACAGCGCUCAGGUUCUGCUACGGACCAGCCCCGACCACGGCAGGACGCAGGGCCGCGGGUAGGACCGGAACCUGAGAAGGACCCCAGCCCCCUAACCCGUCCUGCGGGACAUGGGAGGAGCCGGCAGAACGACGGGGAAGGUGGAAAAGCGACGCCUGGCGACGCACCCAGUGGAAGCAGACCUCGCCGGCUUAGGAAGCAGUCAGAGGUUCCAGCAGAGCUUUGCGCUCCAGACGCCCAGCAGAAUGGAAAGACCCAUUCGUGCUCAUCUUUGGAUCCGGACUACAGAGGCGAAAUGGAAACAGGCCUCGUCUCCAUGUCUGCCUUGUACACCAGAAGAUGCAGGCAGACUUAGCAAUAGGCUACUAGGGACCAUGAACUCAGAUGAGACUGGAUUAAAAGAUUUCUCUUAGAAAGUAUAGAUUCUACCAUCGAGUUCCUUUAUAAAUCACUAAUAAAAUUUUAUUUAAAAGCUUCCAAAA